AGCCUCAUAGCUCAGUUGGAUAGAGCGUUGGCUGAACAAAAGUCUUCCCCUUGCUGGCGUGGGUUCGAAUCCCACCGAGGCCA
rnacentral:tRNA from 1 species